rnacentral:rRNA from 2 species
UGGAUCCAGACUUUGAUUCUGGCUCAGGAUGAACGCUAGCUACAGGCUUAACACAUGCAAGUCGAGGGGAAACGACAUUGAAAGCUUGCUUUCGAUGGGCGUCGACCGGCGCACGGGUGAGUAACGCGUAUCCAACCUGCCCAUCACUUGGGGAUAACCUUGCGAAAGUAAGACUAAUACCCAAUGACGUCUCUAGAAGACAUCUGAAAGAGAUUAAAGAUUUAUCGGUGAUGGAUGGGGAUGCGUCUGAUUAGCUUGUUGGCGGGGUAACGGCCCACCAAGGCGACGAUCAGUAGGGGUUCUGAGAGGAAGGUCCCCCACAUUGGAACUGAGACACGGUCCAAACUCCUACGGGAGGCAGCAGUGAGGAAUAUUGGUCAAUGGACGAGAGUCUGAACCAGCCAAGUAGCGUGCAGGAUGACGGCCCUAUGGGUUGUAAACUGCUUUUAUAAGGGAAUAAAGUGAGUCUCGUGAGACUUUUUGCAUGUACCUUAUGAAUAAGGACCGGCUAAUUCCGUGCCAGCAGCCGCGGUAAUACGGAAGGUCCGGGCGUUAUCCGGAUUUAUUGGGUUUAAAGGGAGCGUAGGCCGGAGAUUAAGCGUGUUGUGAAAUGUAGAUGCUCAACAUCUGCACUGCAGCGCGAACUGGUUUCCUUGAGUACGCACAAAGUGGGCGGAAUUCGUGGUGUAGCGGUGAAAUGCUUAGAUAUCACGAAGAACUCCGAUUGCGAAGGCAGCUCACUGGAGCGCAACUGACGCUGAAGCUCGAAAGUGCGGGUAUCGAACAGGAUUAGAUACCCUGGUAGUCCACACGGUAAACGAUGGAUGCCCGCUGUUGGUCUGGAUAGGUCAGCGGCCAAGCGAAAGCAUUAAGCAUCCCACCUGGGGAGUACGCCGGCAACGGUGCAACUCAAGUGAAUUGACGGA